rnacentral:rRNA from 1 species
AUACGAAGGGUGCAAGCGUUAAUCGGAAUUACUGGGCGUAAAGCGCGCGUAGGUGGUUCGUUAAGUUGGAUGUGAAAGCCCCGGGCUCAACCUGGGAACUGCAUCCAAAACUGGCGAGCUAGAGUAUGGCAGAGGGUGGGGGAAUUUCCUGUGUAGCGGUGAAAUGCGUAGAUAUAGGAAGGAACACCAGUGGCGAAGGCGACCACCUGGGCUAAUACGGACACUGAGGUGCGAAAGCGUGGGGAGCAAACAGGAUGAGAUACCCUGGUAGUCCACGCCGUAAACGAUGUCGACUAGCCGUUGGGAUCCUUGAGAUCUUAGUGGCGCAGCUAACGCAUUAAGUCGACCGCCUGGGGAGUACGGCCGCAAGGUUAAAACUCAAAUGAAUUGACGGGG